rnacentral:rRNA from 1 species
ACGCUCGACACCUACGGGAGGGCAGCAGUGGGGAAUAUUGCACAAUGGGGGAAACCCUGAUGCAGCGACGCCGCGUGGAGGAAGAAGGUCUUCGGAUUGUAAACUCCUGUUGUUGGGGAAAAAGAGGAUGGUACCCAACAAGGAAGUGACGGCUAACUACGUGCUAGCAGCCGCGGUAAUCUGAGCGGGCUGGCAAGGC